UUGAAAAACAUUGCCUCGUUACUCUCUCACUCACUCUCUGCGUCUCGAUCUCUCUCUCUCAACCCUCUCUAAACCCUAAUCUCUCUCAACCGAUCGAAUCAACCUUCUUCAGCCCCGUUUAAUCUAAUCUUAGAGCGAUUGGUGAUUCAUCUCAGAUCCAAUCUCAGAGUGAUUGGUGAUUCAUCUUAGCUCCAAUCUCAGAGCGAUUGGCAAUUUCAAUUUUGAGAUUUCGAAGCUUCAUCGCCUCCACCAUCUGCACCGGUGAGAGGAGCGAGCACCAUCGUUUACUAAUGUUCUGACAAAGUACGUUCCUAAAAAUGGGCAUUUUGGUUUCAAGUCUCUACCGGUUGGAAAUUCUUUGGGAAUCUUAUGGAUGCUGGAAAUUUGUGAAUUUGUGGUGAAGAAAGUUUUGGAACAAGCUCUUACCACAUUCAUGGGAAGGAUGGGAUAUGGGCUGCAUUGGCUUGGCUUUCAAUAAUUGCAUAUUGAAACAAGGACAAAAGACCUGGGGAGAAAUUGGUGUCCGUCUCUAAUGUUGUAAAGGAGCACUGGGCCUCUUAUGAAAGAAACUUCUUUUCCAGAUAUGAUUAUGAAGUGCAACAUUCUGACACUAACUCCGUAUUGAGGAACGUGAAUCUGAAGGAGCAAACAAAAUGACAGAUUAUCUUAGAGACUUGGUUUCUAAGAGCAAGCCAGGUGAUAAGUAUGGAAGUUAUGUCCUUCAAUUUGCAGGGAACUGGUUCAGCUGGUGCUACUGUUAGAAUGUACAUUGAACAGUUUGAGCCCGAUGUCUCUAAACAUGACAUGGACGCCCAAACUGCGCUAAAACCUUUAAUAGAUCUGGCGCUGUCUGUAUCAAAGCGGAAGGACUUCACUAGAAGGGAGAAGCCUAUAGUUAUCACAUAAAUCUGAGUGUCUGAUGUUAAUCUCACACAAUGAAGCUUCAUUAGUAAUCGUGUGAAAGCAGCAAGUGAAGAUGGUGAUGAUGAUGAUAAUUCUAUGAUUGAGACUUGAGAUGUUGACACCAUGGUGUUUGAUAAACACGAAAGCUGAUUGUUACAGCUAAGUGAUGAGUGUUGCAUUGCCAACAGCUGUGAAGGACGGUGAUCAUAAUCAUCUCUGGGCACUAUUGGAUCCCAAAACUUGUACUUGGACAGUUCUUUCAUAGUGUAGAUCAUGUGAUUUAAAACUCUGGAUAAAUGCAUAAUCAGAUAGCAAAAAUUUGCCAUCUUUCAUAAUGUAGAUCAUGUUGAUAAAUGAAUCUUAUGAUUUGGAUACUUUUUUUGAUUUGUAUGUUUGAGGUUGUUAUCAGCUUGAUAUGAUAGAAGUUGAGAAUGAAAGUUAGUAUGCAGGUUGUUUGGUGUA